rnacentral:rRNA from 1 species
GCUCCUUCGCUUUCCCAAGCCUUUCCAAGAGAAGCUCACUGCCAUCCGCACUAUCUCAUACACUCGUCGCUGCGUUGCUCGCCGGCUCAAAUGGCUCUUCAGGCGGCCACUUCCUUCCUCCCGUCGGCCCUCUCCGCGCGCAAGGAGGGAGCGGCCAAGGACUCUGCCUUCUUCCGCGUUUGUCUCGCCGAUGGCCUCAAAUUCGACACCACCUCCCUCGGCCUGCGCACCAAGACUGUGGAACGUGCUCUGUUAGUCGCCGCUCGUUCUGACCGACAUGCGUGUCACGAACCUACACAGAGGGUGAACACGUCGUCGGUGGCCAUCCGCGCGCAGGCCGCGGCGGUGUCCGCGCCGACCGCGACCCCGGCGUCGCCGUCCGGCAAGAAGACCGUCCGCACGGGCAACGCGAUCAUCACGGGCGCGUCGUCGGGCCUCGGCCUCGCCACGGCCAAGGCCCUGGCGGAGUCAGGCAAGUGGCACGUCAUCAUGGCGUGCCGCGACUACCUCAAGACCGCGCGCGCGGCCAGGGCGGCCGGCAUGCCCAAGGGCAGCUACACCAUCGUGCACCUGGACCUGGCCUCCCUCGACAGCGUCCGCCAGUUCGUCAAGAACGUGCGCCAGCUCGACAUGCCCAUCGACGUCGUUGUCUGCAACGCCGCCGUGUACCAGCCCACCGCCAAGGAGCCUUCCUUCACCGCGGACGGCUUCGAGAUGAGCGUCGGCGUCAACCACCUCGGCCACUUCCUCCUCGCCCGCGAGCUCCUCGAGGACCUCAAGGCCUCCGACUACCCCUCCAAGCGCCUCAUCAUCGUCGGCUCCAUCACCGGGAACACGAACACGCUUGCCGGGAACGUGCCGCCGAAGGCGAACCUGGGGGACCUGAGGGGCCUGGCGGCCGGGCUGAACGGCGUGGGCAGUGCUGCCAUGAUUGACGGCGCGGAGUUCGACGGCGCCAAGGCGUACAAGGACAGCAAGGUGUGCAACAUGCUGACCAUGCAGGAAUUCCACCGGCGGUACCACGAGGAGACCGGCGUGACCUUCGCGUCGCUCUACCCGGGGUGCAUCGCCACCACGGGGCUCUUCCGUGAGCACAUCCCGCUGUUCCGCCUCCUCUUCCCGCCUUUCCAGAAGUACAUCACCAAGGGAUACGUGUCUGAGGAGGAGGCCGGCAAGAGGUUGGCGCAGGUCGUCAGCGAGCCCAGCCUCACCAAGUCCGGCGUCUACUGGAGCUGGAACAAGAACUCGGCGUCCUUCGAGAACCAGCUCUCCGAGGAGGCCAGCGACACUGAGAAGGCCAGGAAGGUAUGGGAGCUCAGCGAGAAGCUCGUCGGACUCGCAUGAUCACCAAAUGGCCGGCCCUCCGGCGAGGUCGCAAACCCCGAUCGAUCGUCAUCCGCACCAAGUGGCGAUAUUUUGUGCUUCUUUUCUCAAGCCAAAAAAAGGAAAAAUAAUUGUAGGACACGUUUCGCACAAACUGCUAGAUUAAGUACGCGGCGCGCCCGAUUAAGUCCGAAGUGGUUACAGUUCGCAAGGAGUUUAAGCCUGUAAAACUAGUUCUUUUUGCUUUGAUUUUUGGUAAUAGUGACAAUAAAGUGUCUUGGGCGGCCAAAUAGUGGAAGUACAGUUCGACUUUUUUAGUUUCAUCCGGUAACUUCACCCAGUGAAUUUUCUUU